GUCAGUGUGGUGUAGUGGUAUUGGCAUCGGACUACAACUCUGGAGACCAGGAUUCAAGUCUUUGCUCUGCCA